UACCUUUCAAUGGGUCAAUAUUAACUUCAGUGAGAGUGGAUAGGAAGCAGUUAGUGUGUAGCUUGCUCUGUCAGUUCCUUCUCAGCUCUGGACCAAGGAAGGCCCCAUGGCUCUCCAUGUAGUUCCACAUCCUGUUGGAAUUUGGGAGUCCCCACCCCGCUUGCUCAAAAACUCAGAUGGUUUUCUUCCUCUCUGAUUAGUGGCAUCCAGGGCCUUGCAUUCCUUCGAUCGGUCCUUACAAGCCUAAUAGCAGAUGUGCCGCUGUGUGGCUCUCUCCCAAAGUUUCACAAGCUGCUGUUGGGUAAUGCCGGAUGCUUUUCAGCUGAAGGAUUUUGCAAAACCCAAGAUGAUGGCAUCUGGGCAGACAUAUUCAGUUUACAUAUUGCUUCCUUUAAAAUGUAUCGCUAAGGCUUACCCCUCUGCAUCAAUUUUUUUUUUUUAGCCAGAAUUUAAAAAUCAUUUUUGAAAUUUUGGAAAACAUCAGCCAUUAACAAAUAUUUAAAAAUUGCAGAAAACUGUGUUUCAGCUCAACAUCUCACUACCGUCUUCCAUAGGGCGCCAGGCCGACUCCCCACAUCCUACAAAUGGUAUGGAAUCUUUUCCCUGUGAUGCCCCAAUACCCAGGAACUGGACCAAUGGGACUCUCCUCUGGAUUCAGCACGAUUCAAUGGGCAAAAAGACUGUGCUGGUGACCGUGUCACUGUGGCGCUCCAUCAUUAACCACUGGCUGUUGAUGAGGACCAAUGACAUCAUUCUGAUGCUGCCAUCGGUGACAUCCACGGAUGCUGGGAACUACACCUGUCAGUGGAAGGAUCAGGCCCGCCAUUUUCAGCUGGAGGUGGCAGCAAAGCCAGCUGCUUGGCUACAAUUAGGAGCCCAACACUGGAUAAUCUGGACUGCGGCCUUGGUACAUAUGAUUGCCUGCCUUGGUUGCCUUUUCUGUUUUCUGUGGCUCCGGCGAGCCAUUCGUGUUCGUAGGCAGAUGAAGCUGAAGGGUCCUGUCCGGAGAAGGUAUUUCUGUGCCAAGAGGAACAGGCCACGUGCUUCCAAUGGGGUUCUGGUGGGACCCUCAGCAAAUGAAGAUGUCUGUGAGCGGGUGGAUGCCUACGAGAAUGUGUUGCCAGACGGGGGUCCAAGGCGUGCCUGUCAGCUGCUUCAGAAAGGAAAGAUCCUACCCAAUACCACUGACAUGGAAGAUGAAGAUGAAGAAGAAUAUGAACAUCCAGACAGUGAAACAGAGCUCAAGUCAGAUGAUGAUGACAACUACGAGAACACCCAGGAAGAAGUGAAGCAGGGAGAUGCGGCUUUGAACGAUGUAUCGCUUUAUGAAAACAGAAAGGACGAGACCAAGUCUGGCUCCCAAAAGUGGGGCUCAGGUAUUUGGAAGUGCGGUGAGCUAUCCGUGUGGGGUGAGGGGUGUGUCAUGUCAGUCUGUUAA
rnacentral:lncRNA from 1 species